rnacentral:rRNA from 1 species
AGAGUUUGAUCCUGGCUCAGAACGAACGCUGGCGGCGUGGAUAAGACAUGCAAGUCGAACGAGAGAAUUGCUAGCUUGCUAAUAAUUCUCUAGUGGCGCACGGGUGAGUAACACGUGAGUAACCUGCCCCCGAGAGCGGGAUAGCCCUGGGAAACUGGGAUUAAUACCGCAUAGUAUCGAAAGAUUAAAGCAGCAAUGCGCUUGGGGAUGGGCUCGCGGCCUAUUAGUUAGUUGGUGAGGUAACGGCUCACCAAGGCGAUGACGGGUAGCCGGUCUGAGAGGAUGUCCGGCCACACUGGAACUGAGACACGGUCCAGACACCUACGGGUGGCAGCAGUCGAGAAUCAUUCACAAUGGGGGAAACCCUGAUGGUGCGACGCCGCGUGGGGGAAUGAAGGUCUUCGGAUUGUAAACCCCUGUCAUGUGGGAGCAAAUUAAAAAGAUAGUACCACAAGAGGAAGAGACGGCUAACUCUGUGCCAGCAGCCGCGGUAAUACAGAGGUCUCAAGCGUUGUUCGGAAUCACUGGGCGUAAAGCGUGCGUAGGCUGUUUCGUAAGUCGUGUGUGAAAGGCGCGGGCUCAACCCGCGGACGGCACAUGAUACUGCGAGACUAGAGUAAUGGAGGGGGAACCGGAAUUCUCGGUGUAGCAGUGAAAUGCGUAGAUAUCGAGAGGAACACUCGUGGCGAAGGCGGGUUCCUGGACAUUAACUGACGCUGAGGCACGAAGGCCAGGGGAGCGAAAGGGAUUAGAUACCCCUGUAGUCCUGGCAGUAAACGGUGCACGCUUGGUGUGCGGGGAAUCGACCCCCUGCGUGCCGGAGCUAACGCGUUAAGCGUGCCGCCUGGGGAGUACGGUCGCAAGAUUAAAACUCAAAGAAAUUGACGGGGACCCGCACAAGCGGUGGAGUAUGUGGCUUAAUUCGAUGAUACGCGAGGAACCUUACCCGGGCUCAAACGUCGGGCGAAUCAUCCUGAAAGGGGUGAGCCAGCAAUGGCGGCCGACGAGGUGCUGCAUGGUUGUCGUCAGCUCGUGCCGUGAGGUGUCGGCUUAAGUGCCAUAACGAGCGCAACCCCCGCGUCCAGUUGCCAGCGAUUUAAGUCGGGCACUCUGGACGGACUGCCGGCGCAAGCCGCGAGGAAGGCGGGGAUGACGUCAAAUCAGCACGGCCCUUACGUCCGGGGCGACACACGUGUUACAAUGGCGUGGAACAGAGGGAAGCCACCUGGCGACAGGGAGCGGAACCCGAAAACACGUCUCAGUUCGGAUUGGAGUCUGCAACUCGACUCCAUGAAGCUGGAUUCGCUAGUAAUCGCGCAUCAGCCAUGGCGCGGUGAAUACGUUCCCGGGCCUUGCACUCACCGCCCGUCA